UUACGUAAUAGGAAGAGAGAUAAAUAAAAUGAACAAUGGAAUGGAAAGAGAUAAGAAAAUAAAUAAAUUAUAAAAAAGUGUUAUUAUGUGUUGUAAAGGGUAGAAUUAUCCAAUUCGGAUUUCGGAAUAUAUUAAAAGCUAGCCACCCUAUAUUUUAUCUUUUCUUUUCUUUUAUUUUUAAAAUACAAAUUUCUAAUGUAUAUAUAAAUGUGAAGACUCAUGAGCUCAUUGAGUCAACAACAACCUAGGUCACAACCGAGGCAGUCUUUUAUUUUAUAGUAUAAUUCAUUCUGUCAUAUAUCUGUGUAGCAAUGGUGGUCUUUCUUUGCAAGGAAGAAUAUGGUGUGCUCUUGGGCAAUGACUGGGCUGCAACUCAUGAAUUUGGCCACAACUUUUGUAUCUCAAAUGAAGGUGACGAUGACGAUGAUGAUAAUGGCGUCAUUGAUGUGGCCCCAGCGGCAUAGAAGAAUUUCGCAAAACAUGCAUAAAUGAGGAGGAUGAGGAGGGAUAUAGUAGUAGUCAGUGUAAGCUUCAUUCUGUAGUCUUGCUUAGUAAUUACAUUACAUUUGUGUUUACUCUUGGAAUAGGUUCUAGUGUUAUGCUUAAUUACGGUCACUAUAAAUUUGAGACAUAAUACAUGUUUUAUUAGUAAUUAAUGAUUAAUUCCACUCUCUCUCUCUCUCUCUCUCUCGGACCCAGUAAUUUUCUUGUCGAUCGUCUUUGACUCUAUUAUCUGAUCAUAGUUUUUUAUUUAUAAUAAUUUGAUGGCAAUUGGCAAUGUACUUGUAAUGGGGUGCAGGCAAAUUUGAUAAAUUUGACAUGACCCAAUUAUAAAAGGUUUCCUUUAAUAAACUUAUUAUGAUGAUCUAUACAAGAGUUUGCUAUGUGUACCUUCCAGUUCAUUUUUUCCUUGGCAGAAUCAUGGUUCAGGGAACACAUAAAUCAAGCUUAUAUAUAUGCAAAGAAGAAAUUAAAUUAGUGAGUUGAGUUUAUGACAAUUUCUUAACCAUCUUGUUUCCUAAUGAGGGAAGCCAAUGAUCCCCAUUCACCUUUUAAUUUAAUUAACUACAAAGGAAAAUCCUAUCAGAAAGAAGCUAGCUAGCUGAGCAAUUUUUACACUUUGCAUGGCAAUUUUACAUAAAAUAAUUCAAAUGUGUUUGAUCUAUCUUGAGAUUCAGAGUAUUCUCAUCAUAUAUGCCUUUUCUUAUCAGAUAAUUAAUUCAUUGUUUUCUGGAUUUUCUCCUCAUCAGCGCAUUACACCAAGCUAUAUGUAUUGCUUGAAAAAGUCAAAGAGACAUUAUAGAUAUUAUUUGACGUUAUAGAAAGCUUCCGUACGUUUCAGAAAAGGAUAUAUAUAUAUAUAUAUAUAUCAGAAGCAAAAGUGUCCACCGUCCACCAAAACAACAAAGUAACCAAGUUGCGGUUGUAGUAACAGUAAAUGUAACAAUAGAGCAUUCUAUUAUUACAUUAGUACAAAUGUACAACUAUAGUAUAAAAGAGGCAGUCUAUAGUAUUAAUAUACAACUAUAGACAAAAAAUAAAAUCAGACGAAGUGGUAUCAUGGGAGAGCCUUUUCAUGUUUGUUCGUUCCUUAAAAAUACAUAGCACUAUUUCAAUCUGUUUCUAAAUUUAUUAAUAUACUUAUAUAUCAUGAUUUCCA
rnacentral:lncRNA from 1 species